rnacentral:lncRNA from 1 species
AGCUUCGGCGCUUCGCGUUUGAGUUUUGCAACGCCGGCGGACGUCCGAGCUGCUUACUGAAUGCCAGAUGGUGGAAAUGAUUGUGCUGAUAUACGCCCGCGACAGCCCCAAACGCUAGAGCAGUUCAACUCCUUGCGGGUCCCCAAUCUCAGGUACUCCCAUUAAUCCUAUCUGAUGCUUCCUAUGAGUACCAGCCUCGCAUGCAUGCUCAGGUUGGUGCUGCUGGAUUGAAUCGGUUAACAUUGGUGCUUUUUCUUGCCAAAGUUGGAUUCAUUGAGCUACACGUCCACGCCUCAAUCACUCAGAACAAGUUGAUUGCUGGAUGGUAACUUCGUUAUAGCUAAACCAUUUUUAUUAGAUUAACUAAAUUGGAUUCCAUUAAUCUUAUUUGUAUAUGUUCCCUUGACUGCAUAAUUAGCAGUUCCGUUUUCGAAUUAAACAACUGGUCCUUUGGUUUGGCAGUGUUUAUCUCUUUUGAUGAUUCUUUUACACUACUGUUUCUGUUAGAUACUAAUUGAGUUUCAGCUUUGAUUUAUUAACAUGCAUGUCCAUUCUAAUAGACAUUCAUUUCAGGUUUGGACCUUUCUUGGUGGAUGUGUCUCCUUACUUCAUCUCUUUUACUUUCAACUUUGUCGCAACCAUAGAGGAUUCUUAAUUUGAUUCUUCUGGUAUGUAUGUGGUUGCAGCACCCUGUUUGAAAUAUAAUAUAUCAUGUUCUCUGCACCGUCGCUGAUUUUCAAUAGUAACAAUUUCGUACUCCUCCAGCACCAUAUUUCAUUAGGAUAAUGUUAUUGCUUCUUGAGGUUUAUUUAUAGACAUGGGAUGUUCUCAAAGUUUAAUCUUAAUAUAGGUUCAUACGGACUCGGUCGGACAAAGCAAUUUCAUUUGAGCAGAAAUGAUACUAAAUCACCUGUCAGUUAAUCCUUUCAUGUAGGAGAACCAUUAUACUAAUCAGAAGAUGCAUGCGUUCUGGCAUCCACUAAGGGUGACCCCUUUUUUAGUUUUGUCACAUAAUGUUAGUUACUCACCUUAGAGAACCCCCUUUUUUAUCUUCUAUAAGGUUGCCUGCUACUGCUAGCGUAUGCAAGUAAAAGCAGCUAUUUGCACCAUCAUUCAUUGCUUCAAACUUCUGUUGAUCAAUUCACACCCAAAAAAACGCUUACUUGACUGGCUACUAUCAAAUCAAAAUUUUAUAAAACGGACAAUCUAGCACUCAUAUGUCAUAUGACAAUUGCAAAUCUCUCACAGUCUAUCGAAGGGAAAAAGGUGUACAUGUUUUUUAGCUUUUACCUUUAUAAAUGUAUAAGUAUCAUGUACUUAUCUACUUGCUUCCUCAACGCCCCCCUUUAUUAUCCUCUCUAACCUAUUACUAUAUAGUGCAGUGUCAAAUAAUAUAGUUCACACUAUUAGAUAAUUAAGAAAAUAUCUGAGUGACCAAAGCAUUGUUCACCCAGUAGGUUGCAAUACACUCUAUGCAUACUUACGCUUUUGUAACAUUGUUGUUCUCGAAUUCUCAAUACCAGUUUGGCAUUUCAUUCUUUCAUUUAUAAGAAAAUCCUUAACGUCAACUAAGUGUCCCGCAACAACGCACGGGGUAUCAUCUAGUUCAUUCAGUUUGACUGUGCGUAAACACUAUAGUGUACAACUAUCAACUUGUUUCACUAUUCAGUUUGUCAUCCAUUCAGCUUACUUACUGGGGCAUAUUUCUUGUGAGAGUUUACUUGAUAGUACAAUAUGUCAGAAGAAACUACCAUUUCUCCGGAAUGAAUCAUUGAUUGCUCUUUAUACACUUACAACUCGGUUUCUUUCAUAUAAGUUCUGAUGCCUUUCUUUAGGUCGAGCUACUGCCCUGUUAAUUAUUGUAACAAACUUUAUCAUUUGCCAGUUUGCACUGUGUUGAGAACUGACCAAUAAGUUUUGUUUGCCAAUUAGCUUUCUGUGUGCAUGCUCUUAAUCCCCAUAUUACUAAUUUCUGAAUCAAACAUUAUUAUUUCUGUCCUCAACAAGUCGCAGCGCUAUGUUCUGUUUUUUGUUUAGUUAGCUCUGUCAAAUAUAAUCAACCUGCCUAUGUUCCAUUUUGCUAUUUGUACUUAGGUAGAAAAAGCUAAAAUCUGUACAUGUAAUGCUGAAGCUAUAUUGGUUGCUUGUUUCUUAAUUUUUUCUUCUAUAAUGAUGAUCUGAAAUGCCACGCAGGUCAUUAUUGGUGGUGCUACUGCUGUUGUUGUGGUUGUUGGAGGUGUUGCUGUUGCAUCUGGCGGAGCUGCCGUUGGGGCCCCAAAAGGUAACCUUCAUCAGCCACAACCCCACAACAAUGGCUCAAGGUUCUGUGCCCUAUCACCCCUCUUUCUAAAUUACUGAAAUGAACCAAGAUCUCAUAUAUUUAGGAACGGAGGUAGUAGUAAGGUUAAAAUAGAAAAGCAAGGGAUGUUUCUAAUUUGGUUAUGCUAGAAUAAUGCAUCAACUCGUGGCAUUCUUGGAUGUUACUCUAAGGUGUCAAAAUGAUAGUAAAACCUAGGCUCUUGCAUGGUUCUUGAAUUAAUUUUUCUAUUUUAUGGCUAACAAAUAUUGCCUAUGUUGAGACUCUAAACAUGUGGAUUUUCCUCUCAUUUAUAGGAAUUCUACCUGAAGAAAUUCGGAGAAAACUUGAAGCCCCAGUUAGCGACUUGCUUUAUAUGUUAUUGACUUGUCAUGCUAAAUUUGUUGAGAAUUUUGAUAUACUAUUGCACAUGUUACUCGAAUGCUGGUAGUUAUGUACAUAUACUCACAAUAUUAUCCGUUGUUUACUUGAAAUGCAUUCUUGGGCUGAAAGUGGCUGAAAAAGUAUAUGCUGUGUUGAUUCUGCGUUGAUUGUGUAUGUCUAUUCUACAAAAGAAGAGGCACGGUCCAAAUGGAAUUAGUACUGAAAUGUCUAUUUGACCUAAUCUAUUUGGGCUUUGAAAAG